AGUUAAUUAGCUUAUUAAGUAAAGUGAUUACUUUGAAAGUAAAAGAAAGAUUAAAAUUUAUUAACUU
rnacentral:tRNA from 1 species